GACGAACGCUGGCGGCGUGCCUAAUACAUGCAAGUCGAACGCAGUGGGGGCGGGUGAGUAACACGUGGGUAACCUCCCAUCAGAGGGGAUAACACUUGGAAACAGGUGCUAAACCGCUACUGAUGGAUGGACCCGCGGUGCAUUAGCUAGUUGGUGAGGUAACGGCGCACCAAGGCCACGAUGCAUAGCCGACCUGAUAGGGGGAUCGGCCAAACUGGAACGGAGACACGGCCCAGACGCCUACGGGAGGAAGCAGUGGGGAAUAUUGGGAAAUGGACGAAAGCCUGACCGAGCAACGCCGCGUGAAGGAAGAAGGUUUUCGGAUCGUAAAGUUCUGUUGUUAGAGAAGCGGUAUCUAACCAGAAAGCCACGGCUAACUACGUGCCAGCAGCCGCGGUAAUUC
rnacentral:rRNA from 1 species